ACAAAGUGGGAGGUAAACUCCUUCUAAAGCUAAAUAUCACCACGAGACCGAUAGCGAACAAGUACCGUGAGGGAAAGUUGAAAAGCACUCUGAAUAGAGAGUCAAAAAGUACGUGAAACUGCCUAGGGCUCAAGCCCGUUGAACUCGAUUAUCCGAGCGGAGACAUUCACCUGCGGCCGGGCUUUGCCGCCCAUGCUGCAGGGCACUUGUCUCCCGCGCUACACGAGGACAUUGCGAUCCAUUACGAAACAGCUUCUGCGUCGCAAGACGCAAGGUCGCCCGACAGUUGCCCCUUGGUGCCGGUUGCUUGCCCCACCGUAGCGACGCUCAGUUCUGAAGGCCUGUGCCGCGAGCUGGGGCUUACUGCACGUGGUGUUUGCAGUCGGGCGCGUGAUGGAUUCCAGCGUACACCGUCGGCCUUCCCGCAAUGGGCCGGCGGACUGUCGAUCGGCAAUGAUAAAAUCGAGGUACCU
rnacentral:rRNA from 1 species